rnacentral:misc_RNA from 1 species
UUUCCGUAGGUGAACCUGCGGAAGGAUCAUUAAAUAAUUUAGAUGACCUCCUAGAACUUGUUCUAGUUAGGUUCAUUCUUUUUUACUGUGAACUGUUUUAAUUUUCAGCGUUUGAGGAAUGUCUUUUAGUCAUAGGGAUAGACUAUUAGAAUGUUAACCGAGCUGAAGUCAGGUUUAGACCUGGGAUCCUAUUAAUUAUUUACCAAAAGAAUUCAGUAUUAUUAUUGUAACAUAAGCGUAAAAAACUUAUAAAACAACUUUUAACAACGGAUCUCUUGGUUCUC